AGGACAGCUGAGGGGCUCCAUGCUGGAGCCAGCACGGUUCCCAGGGCUUCUCCAGUCUCCUGAAAAGGCCUGGAGAUCCCUCGUGGAGAGCUAGUAGCACUCUGCUUUGAAAUGGUGCAGUGAAUUCUAAAGAAAUGCCAGCCCGGCCCUCCCCUCCCUCUGCCAGAGCGGGCACAGCAGGUUUAUCAGCUCAGUCCUCGUCAUUUUUGCCAACGUUUUUCACAGUUGCUCCUUUCACCACGGAUACAUUUGUUUAUGUGGAUACAAGCAAGCAAAAAGUGAGAUUUAAAAUGGGAAAAAACAAACAUCCAUUUCCUCUGUUUUUCUUGUAUUUUGCAGGUGUAUCAGUCUCCCAUGAAAUCUUCCAGCAGGAGGAGUACCCCGAGGUGGGAAUAACUCCAUCCUGAAGGUUUGGCCUCAGGCAAAUUGUAGAAAGAGAAGGAAUCGUUCUGUGGGAAGGUGAGAGAGCACCUCUCGUGUUCCCACUGCUCUCUGCCCAGCAAUAUGCAGCUCAGCGGCUUCCCCAGGUGGUCACAGCCCCACUUUCCACAGGCUCGUCCCCUUCUCCCGUGGAGCCCCGGUGCCAGCCCCACAGCGUCCCUCAGCAGCGCCUCCGUCCCUCGCUCCCUGCUCUUCUCCCAUCGUGGGAUGCCCCCUAAUGCUCGCAGCGCAGCAUCCCGGCCUCCCGCCGCGUGUCAGCACGAACCGGGCUCCAGAAUCCUCUCUCCAGCCCCCCUGGUACAUUCCGGGCUCCAGAAUCCUCUCUCCAGCCCCCCUGGUACAUUCUGGGCUCCAGAAUCCUCUCUCCAGCUCCAUCACAUCUCUCAGCAGCACAAUCCCUGUUUCCAUGAUGAAACUAAUCGUGAGAGGUUACAAAAGCUUUGCUGGAGUGAAUGGAAAGGUGAAUUAAGCGCCAGAAAACUCAAAUUCGGGCUCGGAGGCAAAAAAUGACACCAGAGAAUGUGGAUUUUGGUGGUUAUGGGCUGUAAAUUUGCUGUUACUGCAGAUAAUUUUUAGCGUGUUCAGCACUUCCCAAAUGUGCUGAUAGUGAAAAGGAAACAGCGAGAGAGUAAC